GUCGUGCUUGAGGGAUUUGAUUUGUUCAAAAUCUUUCCCUUCAUAGACUGACUUGAUUGAUGCAACUUGGAUAUGAGACCAAAAAAUGGAAUGUUUUUCAUUUCAUCACUGACAACUGGAACAAAAGAAUAAGAGCUGGUUUAGGGGCUAACUGCUAUAACUAUGACGGAACCACUAGAGUAAUUAGUUUGAUUGGCCAACUGCACCUAAGAUGACUGAGAACAAGGCAGGGGAACUACCCGAUCAAAGAGUCUUUCUUCUGCGCCUGGGCCUUCCCUUAAGAUGAGAACAAGACGGGUGAGCUUCACCUGAAAUCAUUUCCUGCGCCCCUAGGAUUGAGGUUGGUUGGCUUGUUCAAGGCAAGGUACCAAAUGAGAAGCAGCACUUCCACUGCAAUGCAAGGACUCUUCACACAAGACGGUCGGGCUGACCCAAGAAAUCAAUCAACUGGGAC
rnacentral:lncRNA from 1 species